GUUAACAUUUGACUGAGUGAUCACAAAGCAUCAAGUAUAUGCAUUACCUCAUUUAAAUCUUAAAAUUAUGCCAUCAAGCCGGCCCCAUGGCGUAGUGGUUUAAGUUCGGCACACUCUGCUUCAGCAGCCCGGGUUUAGGGGUUCCAAUCCUGAGCAUGUACCUACACCACUCAUCAGCCAUGCUGUAGUGGCAAUCCACAUAUAAAGUGGAGGAAAACUGGCACAGAUGAUAGCUCAGGGCUAAUCUUCCUCAGCAAGAAAAAAAAAAAUUAUGCCAUGAAGUAGACAUCACGUUUAUUUCCACUAUACACUGAGAAAAAUGAGGCUUAGAGAUGUUAAAUAAUGUCGAUUAGUAGAGCCAGGAUGAGCCCAGUCCUGAGUCCAUCAACAGGCACUUUAACCACUAUGCUUCCCAAAGAGAGGCCACAGUACCCAAACCAGGUAAGUCACCUAGUCGUAUUUUCCUGACUAGCAUUGAAGCUGAGCAAUUCCUUUCCUGUAUAAAUGCCACUCCAAAUCGAGAGCAUACCCACAUUUGUUGACGAUUUGCCAUGAAUCUAGCAGCACUUUUUCACAGCACAGGAAAAAAUUAACAACUUGUUAGAGCUCAUUCAAAAUAUGUAAUGGUGCAAAUUAUAUUUAGAAUAAUUAGUCACACAAGACCAAAGGCUACACGACCUUAACCUGCUUCUCAUUUUCAAGAUCUCCCUUUAAAUAUAAUUAUCUCUUUUCAGGAAAAAAGGACCUGUGAAGAACGUUUAGAUUUUAUGCAUGCUGAAAAUCAGCCUCGGUUAUCCUCUGCUGUAACUGUCUGUUAAGGGCAAGUUCUCACUUUCCCGUCACGACCAGGCAUGUUCAGGGCCAAUCUUCCUCACCAAAAAAGAAAAAAGAAUGAAACAAGCUUCUUUUAAGAAACAUCAAAUCUUGUUAGUUUUUGUGCAACUGAUUUUGUCUUUUUCACAUGCUAUUAGUAAGCUGCUUUUCCAAUUUUCUAUAAUUUUCUCUUUGAUUUUACUAAAAGUAUAAGAACUUGCUUACAAUUUAAAACAUAAGCUGUAUGAAAGCGGGAAUUUUUUUGCCUUUUGUUUGCUGAUGUGUCUGUAGCAAUCAGAGAAGUGUCUGCCACAUGGUAGCUCAAAAAUACUGCUGAAUUAAUUGAACAAAUGUAAUGCAAUUCAGUGCUAAUUUCCAAAGAAAUUAAAGUGCAUGCAUACACGGUAGUGCACGCUAGAUACAGUGCCGGGUGAGUUACGUACACUACCUCCUAUAAGUAUUACAAAAUCUUCAGAAGAAGGUAACUUUUAGAAAAAAAAUAUAUACAGUACUCCAUGUUAUAUAACUUCCAGAGUCAUUUUAUAAUAGCUGAAAUAAUAAAUAAUUAUAAUAGCUGCCAUUUAGGGCCAGCCCCGUGGCCGAGUGGUUGGGUUCUCAAGCUCCGCUUUGGCAGCCCAGGGUUUCCCCCAUUCAGAUCCUGGGCACCGACAUGGCACCGCUCGUUGAGCCAUGCUGAGGCGGUGUCCCACAUGCCACAACCAGAAGGAGCCACAACUAAAAAUAUACAACUAUGUACAAGGGGGCUUUGGGGUGAAAAAGGAAAAAUAAAAUCUUAAAAAAAAAAUAGCUGCCAUUUAUGGAGUAUUCCAAACUACAAGUUUUGCUUGGUAUCUAUACAGUAAACAUACCAAGAAGGCAUUAUCCUUAUUUUAAAGAUGAGGAAAUCAAGACACAGUGAAUAAGAGUUAGAUCCCGGGCCGGCCCAGUGGCGCAGCGGUUAAGUUCGCACAUUCUGCUUCUCAGUGCCUGGGGUUCGCCGGUUCAGAUCCUGGGUGUGGACAUGGCACCACUUGACAAAAGCCAUGUUGUGGUAGGCGUCCCACAUAUAAAGUAGAGGAAGAUGGGCAUGAAUGUGAGCUCAGGGCCAGUCUUCCUCAGCAAAAAGAGGAGGAUUGGCAGUAGUUAGCUCAGUGCUAAUCUUCCUCAAAAAAAAAAAAAAGAGUUAGAUCCAGUGACCAAUAAAUAACCUAUCGUUCAUUGCCUGGCAUCAGUCUAGCACUUUCUGACUCCCUCAGUCCCUCAGGGCUCUUCCUCUGCUGUAACAAUCUCUUCUCUUGUCUCUCCUCAAGUCUGUAUGAGAGCCAGGAACGGAGAGGAACUUAUCGAAUAUUUUCAAAUGAAAAGAUAGUCUCCUCCAGUAGGCAAGAAUCCCAAACAGCUAAGAUUAUGAUCUCUGUCGUUCUAGCGGAAUCAGAAGAUCAUUCAAGAGUGCUCAGGACUUCCCCAAAUAUCAGGAGGCUUACAGAAUAAAAGGGGUC
rnacentral:lncRNA from 1 species